rnacentral:lncRNA from 1 species
GGCGGGAAGGUACCUUUUUUUCCUCUCAAAUUAGAUAAUUUUACGAAAGUGUAAGAUCUGAUAUAUGAAUUUGAAAUUUAAAUUUAAAUUUGAAUUUGAAUCUGAUUUUGAUUAUAUAUAUAUAGAGUGAGGCUACUAUGCUUCUGGAAGCAUGGAGCCUUCUGUGCUUCCAGAUCGUUUUCUAUGUUGCGACAUUCAAAUCGUCGAUCGGCUCUGUUAAACUUGAUCUAAUGUAUUUGAAGUAUCUAGAAAUAAAUUAUGCGAUUUUUCGAUAUUAUUUGCCUAGUGAACGAAGGGGCUCAAAAUCAACGGCUGAAAAUAAAAAUCUUACAAAACGUGAUAAUAUGACAUUAAAAUUUUAGAUCAAUGAUAUUGAUCUUGUUUUAUAUAGUAUAAAGAAUUUUCUAUCAAAAUUUCACGUGAUUUGGAUAUUUCUAUACCGUUAAACUUGCAAACGGCUCACUACGGCCAUUAAAAUUAUUGAUUUUGAGCCCCUUCGAUCACUAGGCAAAUGAUAUCGAAAAAUNNNNNNNNNNNNNNNNNNNNNNAAUAGUAAAGAAUGGCAACGAAUAAAGAACGGUUAAUGCUAAGGAAUAGCAAAUAAUAAAGAACGGCUAAGAAUUAAAGAAAGGC